CAGCUCAUCUCGAAGAGGGGGGUGAGAACCCUCGCCGGGUUCGAGCAGAGCAGCUUGCCGGGAUGAACGGCCGCAGGCCGCCCCGAAGGGGUGAGCCACGCAGUGGCGAAUCAUCCCUCCCUUACCGCCA
rnacentral:sRNA from 1 species